rnacentral:tRNA from 1 species
AGAGGGAAAUGGCAUAAAGUAGGGCUGCUAACUCUGCUUUGGGCGGCUCAAUUCCGUCCUCUCUCUU